GCCAGACAUAGUGGCUUGUGCCUGUAAUCCCAGCUACUCUGGAGGCUGAGGUAGGAGGAGUGCAAGCUCCAAACUAGCCAAGCUCAU
rnacentral:sRNA from 1 species